CCGUUGUACACACCGCCCGUCACACCAUGGGAGCGGGUUCUGCCAGAAGUAGUUAGCCGUAACCGCAAGGAGGGCGAUUACCACGGCAGGGUUCGUGACGUGGGGUG
rnacentral:rRNA from 1 species